rnacentral:ribozyme from 2 species
AAUGUAAUGCAGCUUGUAUUCAGUUUUGAUAUACAAACGGUGACAAGCCCGUGUAAAUGCAGAGUCGAAG